AGAGUUUGAUCAUGGCUCAGGACGAACGCUGGCGGCGUGCUUAACACAUGCAAGUCGAACGGAAAGGCCCUGCUUGCAGGGUACUCGAGUGGCGAACGGGUGAGUAACACGUGGGUGAUCUGCCCUGCACUUCGGGAUAAGCCUGGGAAACUGGGUCUAAUACCGGAUAGGACCAUCGUUUAGUGUCGGUGGUGGAAAGUUUUUCGGUGCAGGAUGAGCUCGCGGCCUAUCAGCUUGUUGGUGGGGUAAUGGCCUACCAAGGCGUCGACGGGUAGCCGGCCUGAGAGGGUGGACGGCCACAUUGGGACUGAGACACGGCCCAGACUCCUACGGGAGGCAGCAGUGGGGAAUAUUGCACAAUGGGCGCAAGCCUGAUGCAGCGACGCCGCGUGGGGGAUGAAGGCCUUCGGGUUGUAAACUCCUUUCAACCAUGACGAAGCAUUAUGUGACGGUAGUGGUAGAAGAAGCACCGGCUAACUACGUGCCAGCAGCCGCGGUAAUACGUAGGGUGCGAGCGUUGUCCGGAAUUACUGGGCGUAAAGAGCUCGUAGGUGGUUUGUCGCGUCGUCUGUGAAAUUCCGGGGCUUAACUCCGGGCGUGCAGGCGAUACGGGCAUAACCUGAGUGCUGUAGGGGAGACUGGAAUUCCUGGUGUAGCGGUGAAAUGCGCGGAUAUCAGGAGGAACACCGAUGGCGAAGGCAGGUCUCUGGGCAGUAACUGACGCUGAGGAGCGAAAGCAUGGGUAGCGAACAGGAUUAGAUACCCUGGUAGUCC
rnacentral:rRNA from 1 species